rnacentral:rRNA from 1 species
ACGCUGGCGGCAUGCCUAACACAUGCAAGUCGAACGAAGCCUUCGGGGCUUAGUGGCGCACGGGUGCGUAACGCGUGGGAAUCUGCCCUUGGGUUCGGAAUAACAGUUAGAAAUGACUGCUAAUACCGAAUGAUGUCUUCGGACCAAAGAUUUAUCGCCCAAGGAUGAGCCCGCGUCGGAUUAGCUAGUUGGUGAGGUAAAGGCUCACCAAGGCGACGACCCGUAGCUGGUCUGAGAGGAUGAUCAGCCACACUGGGACUGAGACACGGCCCAGACUCCUACGGGAGGCAGCAGUGGGGAAUAUUGGACAAUGGGCGAAAGCCUGAUCCAGCAAUGCCGCGUGAGUGAUGAAGGCCUUAGGGUUGUAAAGUUCUUUUAGUGGGGAAGAUAAUGACGGUACCCACAGAAAAAGCACCGGCUAACUCCGUG